CGUGAGUGAGGGCGGGGCGGGGAUGUAGGAGGUGGCGGAGGAGAGAGGAAGCAGGAGAAGUGAAAAUGAUGGCGACCGAAGCGGGGGAGAUAAGAGCUCACACAAGCCCCUGUCCCAACCCCGACUACAACCUCAGCCCUCUGUCCAUCAAAAUAACGCGGAAAAACCAGGACAGACACUGGAGGUUGCGGUGCAUUCAUCUGCAGUGCUACUUCCUGACCAUCGCAACAAUACUAGGAACUGGAAUCUUAGGUCUUCCAGUCACUAUAGCACAUGCUGGCCUGGUGCCCUUCCUGGUCUCCUUUCUGGUUGGCUUCUUUGUUCAGGCCUUGCUCAUUUAUCUGUUUGUGGAACUUCUCCAAAAUGUCAAGUGGUCCAGCUGGACUCUCUAAAGACAGGUGUCGCAGAGUGUAUUGUGAUGGAUCAAGUGAGCCCAGAAAAUCCAAUCGCACCAGAUGAAGAAGAGGAAGAAGAACUUGAAAAUGCAGAAGCUGAUACUGGUUUACUACAGUCCAGCUCACCAGCUCUGUGUGACCAAGCUGAGGACCUGCAACCCAACCUUCAUCUGCUUGGCUGCCUCUUCCUCUCCCGGCCCAUGAGCCAUGCUUUCAACUGCAUUCUCCUCUUCCAAUUGUAAGUUACCAUGGCAAUCAUCUUUCCAUGUCAUGAAGUUGAAUC